rnacentral:ncRNA from 1 species
UGGCUCUGGAGAAUCCCGGAAGCGGGUACCGAAGGUGCAAGGCGAUUUUUCGCUGAAUCUCUCAGGUAAAAGGACAGAGUGGGAA